rnacentral:tRNA from 1 species
GGAGCGGUAGUUCAGUUGGUUAGAAUACCGGCCUGUCACGCCGGGGGUAUGCUUCGUGCUAUGGUUCGCGUUU